CCUACGGGCGGCAGCAGUGGGGAAUAUUGGACAAUGGGCGAAAGCCUGAUCCAGCCAUGCCGCGUGUGUGAAGAAGGCCUUCGGGUUGUAAAGCACUUUCAGUGGGGAAGAAAGCCUUGGGGCUAAUACCCUCGAGGAAGGACAUCACCCACAGAAGAAGCACCGGCUAACUCCGUGCCAGCAGCCGCGGUAAUACGGAGGGUGCGAGCGUUAAUCGGAAUUACUGAGCGUAAAGCGCGCGUAGGCGGUCUGAUAAGCCGGUUGUGAAAGCCCCGGGCUCAACCUGGGAACGGCAUCCGGAACUGUCAGGCUAGAGUGCAGGAGAGGAAGGUAGAAUUCCCGGUGUAGCGGUGAAAUGCGUAGAGAUCGGGAGGAAUACCAGUGGCGAAGGCGGCCUUCUGGACUGACACUGACGCUGAGGUGCGAAAGCGUGGGUAGCAAACAGGAUUAGAUACCCGUGUAGUC
rnacentral:rRNA from 1 species